CCUGAUAUACGACUGCCUAAACUCAGGAGCACAUAGCAAAAGCCUAACUUUUGUGCAAAACUGGGAGAAGGACCUAAAACUCACCUAUCCAGACACAGAAUGGGAAAAACUAUUUACCACUCAAAAAAAAUACACGUUAUGCUCUUCACACAUAGAACUGACCAAAAAGAUUUUGUACAGAUGGUACUUAGUCCCAACAAAAUUACAUAAAAUGUUCCCCGCAGUAUCAG